rnacentral:rRNA from 1 species
AUUGAACGCUGGCGGCAGGCCUAACACAUGCAAGUCGAGCGAGCGGCGGACGGGUGAGUACUGUAUGGGGAAUGCCAGAUAGAGGGGGAUAACUGCUGGAAACGGUAGCUAAUACCGCAUACUAUCGGAUAACCCAUAUGGGAUUAGCUAGUAGGUGAGGUAAUGGCUCACCUAGGCGACUAUCCCUCGCUGGUCUGAGAUGAUGAUCAGCCAACCUGGAACUGAGACACGGCCCAGACUCCUACGGAGGCAGCAGUUGGGAAUAUUGCACAAUGGGCGCAAGCCUGAUGCAGCCAUGCCGCGUGUAUGAAGAAGGCCCUAGGGUGGUAAAGUACUUUCAGUCGGGAGGCGUUACCGACAGAAGAAGCACCGGCUAACUCCGUGCCAGCAGCCGCGGUAAUAC